GGUCAUGAGUGCCAGCAAAGUUCCAUGACUGUGAGUUAGAUGGAACGCCUGCCCCGGCUUGCUGGACGGCAACCCUCCUCCGCGGUGGGGUGCCCCGGGUGACGACCAGGCCCUCAUCACAAGAUGGGGAGCAAGCGCGGUCU
rnacentral:ncRNA from 2 species